GGGUGCCGCUCAGUGGUAGAGCACUUGCCUUGCAUAUGUGAGGCCCUAAGUUCAAUCCUCAGUACCACCCA
rnacentral:tRNA from 1 species